UUAAGCUACAAAGAGCGUAGGGAGAAUGCCUAGGUACCAAGAGCCGAAGAAGGACGUGAUAAGCUGCGAAAAGCCACGGGGAGGAGCAAAUAUCCAUCGAGCCGUGGGUGUCCGAAUGAGGGAACUCAUACAGUAAAAAAAGACUGUAUAUCCAUACAUGAGUAAAGUAGUGUAUAGGAAGGGAACGUGGGGAACUGAAACAUCUUAGUACCCAUAGGAAAAGAAAGUAAUAACGAUUCCUGAAGUAGUGGCGAGCGAAACAGGAAGAGCCCAAACCAUAGAUAGUAAUAUUUGUGGGGUUCGGAUUAUCAAUAAAGCCAAGAAUGAUGUUAGUAGAAUUACCAGGGAAGGUAAACCAAAGAAGGUGAAAGUCCUGUAUAUGAAAACAGAGUGAAGGCGAGAUAAAUCCAGAGUAGUGCGAGACACGAGAAAUCUCGUAUGAAAGAGCGGAGACCAUUCCGUAAGGCUAAAUACUACUUGGUAACCGAUAGAGAACAAGUACCGUGAGGGAACGGUGAAAAGGACCCCGGGAGGGGAGUGAAAGAGAACCUGAAACCCUAUGUUUACAAGCAGAUAGAGCGAUUUAAGGCGCGAUAUCGUACUUUUUGUAGAACGGUCCAGCGAGUUAUUGUAUAUGGCGAGGUUAAGUUCUGAAUAAGGAAUGGAGCCGAAGAGAAAUCGAGUCUGAAUAGGGCGAUAUAAGUCAUAUAUAAUAGACCCGAAACCGGGUGACCUAUCCAUGGUCAGGAUGAAGCUGAAGUAAAAUUCAGUGGAGGUCCGAACUGAUUGUCGUUAAAAAGGCACCGGAUGAACUGUGGAUAGCGGAGAAAUUCCAAUCGAACUCGGAGAUAGCUGGUUCUCCUCGAAAUAGCUUUAGGGCUAGCCUUGAGGUAAAAGAAUUAUGGGGGUAGAGCACUGAAUGAGGUAGGGGCCAAACCAGGUUACUGAACUCUAUCAAACUGCGAAUACCAUAAUUAGAAUACUCAGGAGUCAGACUGCGGGAGCUAAGUUCCGUGGUCAAAAGGGAAAGAGCCCAGACCGACAAUUAAGGUCCCAAAGAUAUAGUUAAGUGGAAAACGAUGUGAAUUUGCAUAAACAACCAGGAUGUUGGCUCAGAAGCAGCCACUCAUUCAAAGAGUGCGUAACAGCUCACUGGUCGAGUGAAUUUGCGCGGAAAAUUACCGGGGCUAAACUAUACACCGAAAUUUCGGAUUUACGUAUGAAAAUAUGUAAGUGGUAGAGGAGCAUUCUGUAGUAGGACGAAGUCAAAGCGAAAGCAUUGGUGGACGAGGCAGAAGAGAGAAUGCUGGAAUAAGUAGCGAGAGCAAGGUGAGAAUCCUUGCCGUCGAAAGUCUAAGGUUUCCUGGGGAAGGUUCGUCCGCCCAGGGUAAGUCGGGGCCUAAGGAGAGGCCGAAAGGCGUAUCUGAUGGAUAGCAGGUGGAGAUUCCUGCACUAUAGCUAGUUUUAAAAGAUGCAAGGGACGCAGUAGAGGAAGAUAACCAAGGAAGAGGAAAGACUUGGUCCGCAAGGGAUAGUGAAAAUUAAUAGUAACGAAAUAUCAAGAAUCACACUGACGAGAAAAGCUUGUAGAUAUUAACUAGAAAUACCCGUACCGCAAACCGACACAGGUAGAUGAGGAGAGGAUCCUAAGACGAGCGGGAGAAGCAUUGUUAAGGAACUCGGCAAAAUAACCCCGUAACUUCGGGAGAAGGGGAACCUAAGUAAAAUUAGGUCGCAGAGAAAAGGCCCAAGCAACUGUUUAACAAAAACACAGGUUUCUGCAAAAUCGAAAGAUGAAGUAUAGGAGCUGACGCCUGCCCAGUGCUGGAAGGUUAAGGGAAAGAGUUAGACGUAAGUCGAAGCUUAGAACUAAAGCCCCAGUGAACGGCGGCCGUAACUAUAACGGUCCUAAGGUAGCGAAAUUCCUUGUCAGGUAAGUUCUGACCCGCACGAA
rnacentral:rRNA from 1 species